CUGAAAGCAUCUAAGCACGAAACUUGCCCGAGAUGAGUUCUCCUGACCUUUAAGGCUGAAGACGUUGAAGACGACGACGUUGAUAGGCCGGGUGUGUAAGCGCAGCGAUGCGUUGAGCUAACCGGUACUAAUGAACCGUGAGGCUUAACCUUAC
rnacentral:rRNA from 1 species